rnacentral:rRNA from 1 species
GAUGAACGCUGGCGGCGUGCCUAACACAUGCAAGUCGAACGGAACUUUAAACGGGAAGUUUUCGGAUGGAACGUAUAAAGUUUAGUGGCGGACGGGUGAGUAACGCGUGGGUAACCUGCCCUGUACAGGGGGAUAACAGCUGGAAACGGCUGCUAACACCGCAUAACAUAGCGAUACCGCAUGAUAUUGCUAUCAAAUAUUUAUAGGUACAGGAUGGGCCCGCGUCUGAUUAGCCAGUUGGCAGGGUAAUGGCCUACCAAAGCGACGAUCAGUAGCCGGCUUGAGAGAGUGACCGGCCACAUUGGGACUGAGACACGGCCCAA